rnacentral:rRNA from 1 species
AGAGUUUGAUCCUGGCUCAGAGUGAACGCUGGCGGCAGGCCUAACACAUGCAAGUCGAACGGCAGCACAGAGGAGCUUGCUCCUUGGGUGGCGAGUGGCGGACGGGUGAGGAAUGCAUCGGAAUCUGCCUAUUUGUGGGGGAUAACGUAGGGAAACUUACGCUAAUACCGCAUACGUCCUACGGGAGAAAGUGGGGGACCUUCGGGCCUCACGCAGAUAGAUGAGCCGAUGCCGGAUUAGCUAGUUGGCGGGGUAAAGGCCCACCAAGGCGACGAUCCGUAGCUGGUCUGAGAGGAUGAUCAGCCACACUGGAACUGAGACACGGUCCAGACUCCUACGGGAGGCAGCAGUGGGGAAUAUUGGACAAUGGGCGCAAGCCUGAUCCAGCCAUGCCGCGUGAGUGAAGAAGGCCUUCGGGUUGUAAAGCUCUUUUGUCCGGAAAGAAAAGCAUUCGGUUAAUAACCGGGUGUCAUGACGGUACCGGAAGAAUAAGCACCGGCUAACUUCGUGCCAGCAGCCGCGGUAAUACGAAGGGUGCAAGCGUUACUCGGAAUUACUGGGCGUAAAGCGUGCGUAGGUGGUUUGUUAAGUCUGAUGUGAAAGCCCUGGGCUCAACCUGGGAACUGCAUUGGAUACUGGCUUACUAGAGUGCGGUAGAGGGGUGUGGAAUUCCCGGUGUAGCAGUGAAAUGCGUAGAUAUCGGGAGGAACAUCUGUGGCGAAGGCGACACCCUGGACCAGCACUGACACUGAGGCACGAAAGCGUGGGGAGCAAACAGGAUUAGAUACCCUGGUAGUCCACGCCCUAAACGAUGCGAACUGGAUGUUGGGGGCAACUUGGCCCUCAGUAUCGAAGCUAACGCGUAAGUC